rnacentral:lncRNA from 1 species
GUUUUCUUUUAGAUCGAUAUUUACAUUUUAUGUUAACCUUUUCGCUACGGUAAGCUUGUGAGAAAAUAUGAUCGCUGUGAACGGAGCGCAUUACUAACUAGUCAGUCGACACUGAGAGAUCGUCCUUCGCAAGCUAAGGUUACGUCAACAAACUGUUCCGAAUCCAGAAGGGAUGGGAAACUAUUCUGCAUGUUACUAUGAUACCUCCGUAGGUUGUUGAUGCACAAUAUUUUGUGGCACGCCUUGUGGAGUCUGUCUUGGUGGCAUCUUAAUCGUUGUUGGCGCAACCUGCUUCAC